GAUGAACGCUAGCUACAGGCUUAACACAUGCAAGUCGAGGGGCAGCAUGGUCUUAGCUUGCUAAGGCCGAUGGCGACCGGCGCACGGGUGAGUAACACGUAUCCAACCUGCCGUCUACUCUUGGACAGCCUUCUGAAAGGAAGAUUAAUACAAGAUGGCAUCAUGAGUCCGCAUGUUCACAUGAUUAAAGGUAUUCCGGUAGACGAUGGGGGAUGCGUUCCAUUAGAUAGUAGGCGGGGUAACGGGCCACCCCCUAGUCUUCGAUGGAUAGGGGUUCUGAGAGGAAGGUCCCCCACAUUGGAACUGAGACACGGUCCAAACUCCUACGGGAGGCAGCAGUGAGGAAUAUUGGUCAAUGGGCGAGAGCCUGACCAGCCAAGUAGCGUGAAGGAUGACUGCCCUAUGGGUUGUAAACUUCUUUUAUUAAAGG
rnacentral:rRNA from 1 species